rnacentral:rRNA from 1 species
UACGUAGGGGGCGAGCGUUGUCCGGAUUCAUUGGGCGUAAAGAGCUCGUAGGCGGCUUGGCAAGCCGGGUGUGAAAACUCCAGCUCAACCUGGAGACGCCACCCGGGACUGCUGAUGGCUAGAGUCCGGUAGGGGGAUCAGCGGAAUCCUGGUGUGAGCGGUGAAAUGACGCAGAUAUCAGGAGGAACACCGAUGGCGAAGGCAGUGUUCUGGGCCAGUACUGACGCUGAGGAGCGAAAGGCGUGGGGAGCAAACAGG